GCUCUCCAUUUCCCAGUCCCACACAAACUCCUCCCAUCUUCUCUCACUCUCCUUUUGCAAGCUUUUUGAAAUUUUCUCAAUCUUUAUUCCUUAACCCUAACCAAGAGGAGGAGGCAAGAGGGAGAUUUGAAGACUCAAUAGAGAAGAACUCUCGCUGGGUAGGAGAGAGAGGCGGUUUUUGUUUUGGGAGAGAAGAAAAAGUAGAGAAAAAAAGGGUUUUCUGGUUUUGGGAGAGAAGAAAAUGCAGAGAGGUCACUGGUUUAGAGAGUGGCUUCACAAAGAGGAAUCCUAGAACAGCUUGCAUCGGAUCUUUUCACUUGGGAAUCAAGGCUACCGAAUGGGAUUUAUUUCCAUUAGUUCUGCUUUGGCCAGCAAGGUGGUCAUCUAAGAAGAGCCGCCAUUGAUUGGGUAUUAUCUUAACCUUGGGCAGCAAGUUGAUGUGUUGACAAAGAGGAUCGAUUGGUAGUCUAUAGAGUUGAUUUUGGUUUCCUUUCUUGUUAACAGUGUUUGGAAGUCUUUGUUUCCUAUUUACUUUAUUUCCUUUGAGCUUUAAUCUUCUUGUAUAAGGGAGAAAUCCGCUAGAGGCUUUCUUUCUUAUCAUCAGUCUUUGAAGACCAA